UCACGUGCUUGCUGGCAGGACCUUGGAUUCUUGCUGGCUGCUGGCUGGAGAUUUCAGUUCCUCACCAUGUGGGUCUCUCCCAGCAGAUCAGCAGGCUUACCUCCAAACAAGUGGGGAGGGAAAGAGAGAAAGAGAAUCCAAUACAGAAGUCACAGUCUUUUCUAAUUACAUAAUCUUAGAAAUGACAUAGCAUCUCUUCUGCUGUGUGUUAUUGGUCACCACCUUUAGCACAACGUGGAAGGAAACUACACCCGGCGAGAAUAUCAGGGGCCAAGGAUCAUUGGGAUGCAUCUCAGAGGCUGCCAACUAUAUCCCUGUUUGAUAUUCUUAGCACAAGGUGAAAACCUUUAACAACUAUUGCUUUUGUUAUAUGGGAGAAUCCAUUCACCCGUCUAAUAACUUGUGGCAACAUACCAUUGUUAUCAUGUGGCUGUUGUACCAUAUGAAAGCCUACACAAGGUGAUCUGUGGCUCCUCCCAACUCAGGAAGGAAGGCUCUAUUGCCCUUUUGUAUCCAGUUUAAAACAACACCAGGACAGAUUGCAUGGGGGGGCUUUCCUGGUAUAGGUAGGAGAGGUCUACUGAGCUGGCACCUUGAGCACUCUUCAUGUUUAUUUGAGACUGAAAGAGAGAUGAACCUGGCUCUAGGAGGGCAGCCGCGGCCAGAGGUUGAGAGACUCGAAGUAUCCAGAUGGAAGCGGAGAUGGAAAUCUGCAGAGACGUCAGGAAACACACCUGUUAGCCACAGGGGCCAGGAGAGGAUCCGGGACUGCGGUGCAGAGUGGUAAGUCUGGAGGUCUCGGGAGUAUCCCCACAAGGCCAGGCAGGGAAGGGCAUUCUUUCUCAGUGCCAGACAUGUGAUACUGCCUCUGGGAAUGUUAGUUGGAUGUCUGUCUAUUCUACUCUGUAAGGCUUCAUCUUUUGCUAAAUAAAGUGGAUUAACUCUUGGAUAUUGACAUAGGGUGUAUUUACCCCAUGCAGAGUUGCUUUCCAUUUUCAAACGUGGUUGUUGCUACUUGUUAUCUGGUCACACCUUUGCUGAAGAAGUCUUUCAGGAGAAGAAAGUGAGAGUAAGAGAUUAAAAGAAUACCAGUCAGUGUUAGCCACUAAGAAGUCCUAUUGCAUAGGGUUAGGAGGGAGUGAAUGAAUGCAGAGAACUUUCAACAUUAUGCCCGCCACUUAGAAACGCGAAUGCGUGGUUAGUGCAGGCACCAUUCCCCACAGGGCUCAUGACAGUCUUGCUCUGGUUUUGAGACAUCACAUGGUAUAGAAAGCAGGUCCAAGCAAGAGACUGGUUCCCUGGCUGAAGGGUCUGUUCUUGACUCACAUAAUCUUUGAGGAUCGAGCUCCUGUGGGCGGCAUAUCAGGGCGGCUCUCCUCUGGGCUGCUUGGCAACUUGAUCUUCAGCUACUGGCGUCCAUUGCACCUGCUUUCCCCGGAACCCACAAUAGUUUGCUUCUCUCCCUCUCCCCAUUGUGAGAAUACUCCAAGUCUUUGGGCUGCCCACAGACCGAUGCCUGGCACUGUGUACUCUCGAACGACGGACACCUUCAGCAUUCCUCAGACACCAUGCAGUGGAGACAGUGGGACUGGGCAUAUUUUAGAAGGCCUUACUGAGUAUCUACAAAAACCACCUAUAAAAAAGACUUAAGUCAUCAUAAGCCAAUAAGAUGUGUAGAAAUCUUAUGGCUAUGUUUGCAUGUUGAUAUAACAUUCUAAUUAAGUAUAUCUAUUAUGUGAUUGUGAGUUUACCAAAUGUAUUACAUGAAAAAUAUUAAUUUGUGGGUCACACCAGCCUCGAGUCCUUUGAAGUCCAUUUAUAUAGAAAUGUGGGGACUCCACUGGAAGUGGGAGAGGAAACAUAGUCUUACGAAGUGACAAGCCCAACCCCCAGCUCACCAAUAAUGGAUACAGGGUGACUGAUACUUAAGAAUGCUUUUAGAUGUACAUGUCUUUUCCGUAGUUUCAAUGUGGCCCACCUAUAAAAUUCAUAAAUAAGGAAAACAUCUUUAAAAAGUUAAGUGUGGAUAGAAUCCAGCUAUUAGAAGCAAGCUCGCUCUGUGUGUCUCCGUUUUCUAAGUACUCAGGCUCAGAAUGGGUCUGUGCUAUAUUCCUGUUCCCUGAGCUUUGCUGAUUACAAACAGAUUCCCUUCUCUAUCACCACGUUUUAUGGACUGAUGCCGCCAUGCUUCCCUGGAAGACAAAAAGGAGAAGAAAAAUCUCUUCUAUGCACUUCACAUGUAUGGAUGUAUAUUGAGUUAGGCUAAAAUGUAAAUAGAGUUUCACUGAGAGAGAAAAGAAGCAUUAAUUUUAUUCCAACAUUUAUGACUAUAUGACAUAUGGACCCCUCUUUUUGCCAUUGUUGCUUCUCCUUUUCAUAAUAGCAAGGUACUGACUUAAGGUAUUUGGCCAACUUCCUCGAAGCUCUUUCUAAGUAGAAACGAGGAAGAGCCAGGUGCAUGAAUCAACAGCAGCUCUCCCAUGUUGAUCAAACAAGGCUGGCAUUGUUGCAAAAAUGAGAAAGCAGAUCUGGGACAAACGCUGGGCUCUAUUUCCUCGUAUUGUAUUUUGCUUUGGCAACUUGCAGGCUUAGUUAUUAGAGCAGCAGAUGUUUUUUAAGACUUACAGGGAAAAGAGCAUAUCAGAUUCCAUGCCCAUGCCUGUCCCAAAUGCACAUGGCAAGAAGGGUUACUUGGAACUGAACACCCAGAGGGGCAGAGGACAUAUUCAGAGGUCCUUAACAGCACCAAGGGAAUAUCUUUUCAACAAAAAAUGAAUUUAUUCUCAGAGCGGGUCAAACCUCCUUAUUCCCAGGUUCAUUUUGACCUUUAGCCUCAAGGAUGCAAUUGUUUCAUUAAAAAACAAAACAAAACAAACAAACAAAAAAACACUCCUGAGGUUUCCUACCCAGAAAGCACAGCUCUAAGAGGGGCCCUGUGAUCCUCCAUCUGUUCUCUAUGUACCUGGGGGGCUGGGAGGACCCAUCGUCUCCGCCUGGCUUGGAUUCUUGCAUCGCCCGAGCAUUUGCCUUGAGCAUAGUGGAUACUCCACAUGUACCUGGGCUUUCCUGAUUCCUUAAGGAUACUCCAGGUUUAAAGAAUUCUGAGAUUCCCCAGUGUUGUGAUUCUUACAGUUUCUUUCUAAUUUGGUCUUGAGGUCUCUCUCUUGAGAGUGGCCCUAAGCCAAGACAGCCAUUUUUAGUAGAACCCUGAUGUGGGAAUUGCACAUGUGGGUCUGAUGAGACACAAUGAGAAAGUGAAAACAGAAUGCAUGAAACAGACAAAAUUUAUUACUCACAGGUACAGAGAGGUUAGGGGUGCCAGCAGGAGGCCAACGGGAAGUUUGCAGGUGGCAGGGAGCUCAAGUGAUGGGUGGUGGGUGAGAGAGAGAAGGAGAGAGAGAGUGGGGACCUGUGGGACUAAGCCGUGGGCGUGAUCCCUUGGGCCUUCCUGUGGGGGUUGUGGAUUGCACAUGCAAGGGGAAGAGCUUAUUUACAUGACUCGGGCUGACCAUUAUGUUUUAUCAUGGUCAGCAGCUGUGGGCUUUGCAGAGUUUUGGGUCAGUGGGAUGAGGAACAAACAGGUUUUAUCUCAAACAAUCACACGGAGAGGUAAAGUUUUAACUAGGCCAAAGGUGACCGGGUACAACUGGGUUUCAAACAACUUACAUCAGGCCUAGAAAGCAAUUGUAUUAGACAAGUGCGUUACACUCUGUGUCCUUUGAUUUAGGCUCUGCUUCGGUGGAUGGUAUUUUUCAGGAGAGGAGGUAGACCACAUGGCAGGAAGAGGGUGACAUUAAAUAGAUGUGAAUAGUACAGUAGAAGGUCUCAGGGGAUUUGGGACGUGAAAAACUGGUGAGCCACUGCAUUCAAGCUGCAGUUGAUCAAGACGGUGCUGUGCUGGCUUCUGUUCUUUGUAUUUAAGAUUUCGUUUUUAAUGAAUAGCUUACCUAUCAAAAAAAGUCCAGGACCAGACAGAUUCACAGCCAAAUUCUACCAGAGGUACAAAGAGGAAAUGGUACCAUUCCUUCUGAAACUAUUCCAAACAAUAGAAAAAGAGGGAAUCCUCCCUGACUCAUUUUACGAGGCCAGCAUCAUCCUGAUACCAAAACCUGGCAGAGACACCACACACACACACACACACACACACACACACACACACAAACCCAGAAAAUUUCAGGCCAAUAUCCUUGAUGAACAUCAUGCGAAAGUCCUCAAUAAAAUACAGGCAAACCAAAUCCAGCAGCACAUCAAAAAUCUUAUCCACCACAAUCAAGUCAGCUUCAUCUUUAGGAUGUAAGGCUGGUUCAACAUAUGCAAAUCAAUAAACAUAAUCCAUCACAUAAACAGAACCAAUGACAAAAACCACAUGAUUAUCUCAAUAGAUGCAGGAAACGCCUUCGACAAAAUUCAACAGCCCUUCAGGCUAAAAACUCUUAAUAAACUAGGCAUUGAUGGAACAUAUCUCAAAAUAAUAAGAGCUAUUUAUGACAAACCCACAGCCAAUAUCAUACUGAAUGGGCAAAAACUGGAAACAUUCCCUUUGAAAACCGGCAGAAGACAAGGAUGCCCUCUCUCACCACUCGUAUUCAACAUAGUGUUGGAAGUUCUGGCCAGGGCAAUCAGGCAAGAGAAAGAAAUAAAGGGUAUUCAAGUAGGAAAAGAGGAAGUCAAAUUGUCUCUGUUGCAGAUGACAUGAUUGUAUAUCUGGAAAACCCUAUCAUCUCAGCCCAAAAUCUCCUUAUGCUGAUAAGCAACUUCAGCAAAGUCUCAGGAUACAAAAGCAAUGUGCAAAAAUCACAAGCAUUCUUAUACACCAAUAACAGACAGAGAGCCAAAUCAUGAGUGAACUCCCAUUCACAAUUGCUACAAAGAGGAUAAAAUACCUAGGAAUACAACUUACAAGGGAUGUGAAGGGCCUCUUCAAGGAGAACUACAAACCACUGUUCAAGUAAAUAAGAGAGGACACAAACAAAUGGAAAAAUAUUCCAUGCUCAUGGAUAUUUCCAUGAGAAUCACUAUCAUCAAAAUAGCCAUACUGCCCAAAGUAAUUUGUAGAUUCAAUACUAUCCCAAUCAAGCUACCACCGACUUUCUUCACAGAAUUGGAGAACACUACUUUAAAUUUCAUAUGGAACCAAAAAAGAGCUCACAUAGCCAAGACAAUCCUAAGCAAAAAGAACAAAGCUGGAGGGAUCAUGCUACCAGACUUUAAACUAUACUACACGGCUACAGUAACCAAAACAGCAUGGUACUAUUACCAAAACACCAAAAUAGAUAUAUAGACCAAUGGAACACAACAGAGGCCUCAGGAAUAAUGCCACACAUUUACAACCAUCUGAUCUUUGACAAACCUGACAAAAACAAGCAAUGGGGAAAGGAUUCCCUAUUUAAUAAAUGGUGCUGGGAAAACUGGCUAGCCAUAUGCAGAAAGCUGAAACUGGUUCCCUUCCUUACACUUUAUACAAAAAUUAACUCAAGAUGGAUUAAAGACUUAAAUGUAAGGCCUAAAACCAUAAAAACCUUAGAAGAAAACCUAGGCAAUAUCAUUCAGGACAUAGGCAUGGGCAAAGACUUCAUGACUAAAACACAAAAAACAAUUGCAACAAAAGCCAAAACUGACAAAUGGGAUCUAAUUAAACUAAAGAGCUUCUGCACAGCAAAAGAAACUAUCAUCAGAGUGACAGGCAAUUUACAGAAUGGGAGAAAAUGUUUGUAAUCUAUCCAUCUGACAAAGGGCUAAUAUCCAGAAUCUACAAGGAACUUAAACUUAUUUACAAGAAAAAAACAAACAACCCCAUCAAAAAGUGGGCAAAAGAUAUAAACAGACUUCCCAAAAGAAGACAUUUAUGCAGCCAACAAACAUAUGAAAAAAGGCUCAUCAUGACUGGUCAUUAAAGAAAUGCAAAUCAAAACCACAAUGAGAUACCGUCUCACGCCAGUUAGAAUGGCAAUCAUUAAAAAGUCAGGGAACAACAGAUACGGGAAAGGAUGUGGAGAAAUAGGAAUGCUUUUUACACUGUUAGUGGGAGUGUAAAUUAGUUCAACCAUUGUGGAAGACAGUAUGGUGAUUCCUCAAGGAUCUAGAACUAGAAGUACUAUUUGACCCAGCAAUCCCAAUACUGGGUAUAUACCCAAAGGAUUAUAAAUCAUUCUACUAUAAAGACACAUGCGUACAGCACACAUAUGUUUACUGUGGCACUGUUCACAAUAGCAAAGACUUGGAACCAACCCAAAUGCCCAUAAAUGAUAGACUGGAUAAUGAAAAUGUGGCACAUAUACACCAUGGAAUACUAUGCACCCAUAAAAAAGGAUGAGUUCAUGUCUUUGCAGGGACAUGGAUGACGCUGGAAACCAUCAUUCUCAGCAAACUAACACAAGAACAGAAAACCAAACACUGCAUGUUUUCACUCAUAAGUAGGAGUUGAACAACGAGAACACAUGGACACAGGUAGGGGAACAUCACACACUGGGGCCUGUCAGGAGGUGGGGGCGUAGGGGAGGGAUAGCAUUAGGAGAAAUACCUAAUGCAGAUGAUGAGUUGAUGGGUCCAGCAAACCACCAUGGCAUGUGUAUACCUAUGUUACUAUCCUGCACGUUCUGCACAUGUACCCCAGAACUUAAAGUAUAAUAAAAAAAAAGAUUUCAUUUUUAUCUCCCAUCACCAAUGUACUGUUACAGUAUGAUACUAUUACUGACUGUGCCCCAUAAGGAUGACACUCCCACAUCUUUGAUUGUUUCUGAUUUUGGUGGUGUAUUGGCCUGAGUUGUGUUCUCCCAGAAUUCAGCCUUAACCCUCAAUAUCUUAGAGUAUGACUAUUUGGAGAUAGGCCUUUAAAGAGGUAAUUUAUUUAAAAUGAAGCUGUUGGGGUGGACCUAUCUAACUGGUAUCCUCAUAAGCAGAGGAGAUUAGGACAUGUAGAGAUACCAGAGAUACACAGAAGAAGGACCAUGUGAGAACACAGGGAGAUGGCCCCGUCUGCAGGCUAAGCUGAGGCCAGCAAAACUGACCCUGCGGAUGCCUUGAGCUUAGACUUCCAACCACCAGAACUGUGAGAAAAUACAUUUCUGUAGUUUGCAGCAGCCAGUCUGUGGUAUUUUGUUAUGGCGAGCCUGGCAAAUGAAUACAGGUGGCUUUUCUCAUUUUUGCAGUAAUUGCCAAAAUGGCUGCAAAUUACUCCCCUCCUUGCAGCUACACUCUUUUGCAUUGUGACUUUGCAGCUCAGGGAGGAAGGAUUAUUCACUAUCACUUGACUUUGUGGACUUAUUCUAGCCAAUAAAAUGUGCCAGAAAUGUCCAGGCUGGGCUUUGAGAUGAGGCUUCCCUGGAGCCCACUCAGGCCCCCUGUGACCAGUGCAGGCUGACUCAUUGCCAGUUUCAGCCAGCUGGUGGGCUUCAGGUACGUGAGUGAGCCUGGCCCAGAGCAGCAGCAUGGCCUGGCCUAGUCCAGCCCAAGCUGCUAACCAAAUGAUUGCUGGAAAUCAUUAACUCUUGUUGGUUUAUUCUGUAGCAAAACUAACUGGGCUGAUUUCCCAUUCAGAGGAGCAGGACAAAGCCAGGUCACGGCUUGUCAGUUUAUACAACGUAGGUUUCCAGUAAGUGUGAGUAUCCUCAACCCAAACCCUGCACCCCCAGGUCAGGAGGCCAAAGAAGUUGAACAGUGAACUAGUUAGGUUCUGUCUACUUAAUUUAGAAUAAUUUUUCUCAUAAUUUGAGCAACAUGCAUGAGAGAAGUCCUCAACCUCUGCCAAAUUAAGUGUAUCCUAUGACUCUCCAUCUGAAAACAUCCUUUCUGGGGCCAGGGAAGUUUCUUCCAUCCCUGUCUUUUGGUGGCUGUGUUGAAGAUGCAAUGAGAAGAUAUUGGUCAUCCUUUUCCUAGUAGAGACAAUUUAAUCUCAAAAUGCCAAGUCCUCUUAAACUUUCCUACUCUAUGGUGGAGUGUGAUUCAUCUUAAAAACAUCCCAGAGAAACUUGGAAGAGGUCCUUGGGUUAGUGAAUGCCCUCCUCGCCAUCAUAGGGACUGCUGAGCACCAGACUGAAAAUGCACGUCUGUCAAACUGUUUUACCAUCAAAUAAUGAAGACGUUUGCGUGCCAUUUUGGAUUUUGCAGCUCACUACUGCUUAUCUCCCGGAGGCCCGUGGCGUCCAGUGUUGGUCCACCAGUUACACUUCGCAGAAGGUAGAACCCUGGGAGGAAGAGAGCCAGGAAGGGAAGAGUCUAUGGGUACAAAGAGUUCGUGCACAUGGAACACACCAUACCACAUCACUAAGAAAAUUAACCUUCCGUGUCUGGAUGAGGAAAGUCAGGUGCAGAGAAGAAUAUGAAGGCAAUUAAAGAACAAAAACCAUAACAUGCCCCAAAUUACGAAAAGAACUGGCAUUUGCAAAGAAUAACAUCCUCACUCAGGCCUCAUGUUGUAAGUGAGGAAACUACGAAUCAAAGACAACAAGCAGCCCUCUGCUUAGCUCAGCUCCCAGGAACCAUUCUCUUCCCAGAGCACAUGUUCUGGAGGGGCCUGGUUUUCCAUCUUCUCUGGAGAUCCUCUGAUGAAAGCAUAACCAGAGGGAGGCUUACCCUCUACUUGCUCACCUUCUCCCCUGCUGAGAUGGCCUUUGGAGGCUCUUCCAGUUAAUUUGCCUUAUGCUGCACUGCAUCAUGUUUCUAGUUAACUGCAAAGCAAAUAGUCCAUGGCCUAGAGGAGGCCUGCACCCUGGAACAAUUGUUGGAAUACGCUGGCCAUUUAAUAUGUCAAGAGUGAAGGAGAAAUAUUCCUUGUGUGGCUUUGGUGGUAAAGUGUGAAAAGGACUGCAAAGCCCGUGUGUCACCGAGGAGAGGGUCAGAAGAAUGUUGCUGGCAGGGCAGAGGCCACUUCUAGAUGCUGGUGUGAUGGAGAAAAUGUAAUCAACCAUAAGGCCCUUGGGGAAAGUAUUGUAUUUGUUUGGAAGAAAUAUUUUAGUAUAAGACUCCUGUGAACAUGCUCAAAGACAAAGGAUAGUUUCUCAAUAGUCUUCUAAGGGUAGGAAUGAUUGAUGAGAGGGGAUUUUGAUUUGUUGAGCACUUAGAUAAGUUUUAGUAUACACAUUUAGGGACAGAAGCCAGGGCAGAGAUAAACUGCUCAGCAUAAAAUGGGAAAGAGGUGAUGAGGAGGCUAAUUCUGGGAAGAGAGGAGCCACCUCCUUGCUGGUAUGGACAAUUUGUAGGUAUUGGGCGUUGAGCAUCACACACAAUCCCCUUUCUCUGGCUUUGUAAUUGCCUGAUGUGUUCUUCCUGUCUGCUGCACAAACAAAGACCACAGCAUAGCAAUAAAGAAAGAGUUUAGGCUGGGCGCA